AGUGAACGCUGGCGGUAGGCCUAACACAUGCAAGUCGAACGGCAGCACAGUAAGAGCUUGCUCUUACGGGUGGCGAGUGGCGGACGGGUGAGGAAUACAUCGGAAUCUACUUUUUCGUGGGGGAUAACGUAGGGAAACUUACGCUAAUACCGCAUACGACCUACGGGUGAAAGCAGGGGAUCUUCUGACCUUGCGCGAUUGAAUGAGCCGAUGUCGGAUUAGCUAGUUGGCGGGGUAAAGGCCCACCAAGGCGACGAUCCGUAGCUGGUCUGAGAGGAUGAUCAGCCACACUGGAACUGAGACACGGUCCAGACUCCUACGGGAGGCAGCAGUGGGGAAUAUUGGACAAUGGGCGGAAGCCUGAUCCAGCCAUACCGCGUGGGUGAAGAAGGCGUUCGGGUUGUAAAGCCCUUUUGUUGGGAAAGAAAAGCAGCAGGUUAAUACCACGCUGUUCUGACGGUACCCAAAGAAUAAGCACCGGCUAACUUCGUG
rnacentral:rRNA from 1 species